rnacentral:lncRNA from 9 species
GGUGCCUGGGGGAAGAUGGAGAAAGCCGGGGGAAGGAGGGGGCCAGCAGAAAAUGCCAAGGCCACAGACUGCACUGUGAGGACACACGUGGGGGCUGCAGCCUGUGAACCUGAACACCAGCCGUCCUCUGAAGGUUUCCAGUUUACCUUAAACUCCUCGUAUGUUACAAAUACAUCGUAGCUUAUCCAUCACACAUUUGCAACUACGCGUGGUCUCCUGGUUGAAACCCUAGUGUUCUAUGUCUACGCUGGCAUCAUCGUCAUACAGAUGAAUGGCGACAAGGAAAAUGGGAAAGCCCUGGAUCCCACCGUUUGGACACCGUCUUUAGAGAAAAAGAAACGAAUAACAUAUUCCUGGUAUUCCUAAGCGUGGGGUCAAUACCCUCAGGGAAAACCAUCUUGUACUUGACAUAGUUACUGGAGCGACAUUUUGACUAUCCGCCUGAUUUCUUUUUUCUUUUUGGGGCUGCACCUGUGGCAUGUGGACGUUCCCAGGCUAGGGGUCUACGCCACAGCCACAGCCACGCCAGAUCCUGGCUGUAUCUGUGACCAGCACUGCAAGGGUCUUAACCCACUGAGCCACAGCGGGACCUCCCUGCAUGAUUUUUAGAUCAGCCACACUGAAACUCUCAGAAAUGCAAACACCGACUUCAGUUUUCACAUCUUUUGCCAAUCAUCGCACUUACCAAGAAAGAAACCAUUGCUGGCCAUGACCGAUAUAUCCAAUAAUGGAAGGAGAGUGAAACAUUUGUCUUGCCAGCAACACAAAGCCGUGCACUUGCCAUCGUCAACACGGGCUUGGCUUUGGUGAUGGGGCAGAGUGUUGGUGGAGAGAAGAGGUAACUGUUGGAUUCUGCUGCCCGGCUUGCGGUGGUGGUAGCUCUCCUCUUUCGUCUUGAUGAGAAGAGGACUAUUUAUUUCUUCAUCCUAUGACGGCAUAAAGAAAAGUAUGAAUUGGGUUUCCCGUGGAUGCAGCUAAUUCCGUGUCUUUUCCACUCUUCUCUGCCACGUUUCUGACAGUUAAAGCCCUUUUUUCUCCUCUCUCUCGUUGGGACAACAAGAGGCUCCUGGAAUGCGCCACUUGUUUCCUUACCUCUCUGCACGCCCGGGGCCCUGGGCACUCGGAUGACACAUCCAUCCACGUCCCAGGAAGCUCAGAGGGCAGGACAGGUUGAUGGUCCCAAACGGUUUUUACCUACAACCCUUCUGACCCCACAUGUGUAGGGUCCCCCCGCCCCACUCCACACACUAACCCAUCCUCCAACUUUCUGAAUGUCAACGGGGUGUCCUACAUUCAAUUUCAACCCUACCCCCCACCCCCAGAGUUAGGGCAGAUCCCUACAGAUUAAGGGCUCAGUCCCCCAAGACCAGCCCCACAUCAGACUCCAAUUGUCAGCCUCGUGUGUCUAGGGCAUCCACGCUUCCGUGCCCAAAAUGCAACCCAAGCAAAAGGAGUGUGCACGUUUUUUCGAGAUAAGUUCCCAAUGCCCCCAGCCCACCUGGCUUUGGAUCUCAACGCGCCCCCAAAUAGAAAGGGGACCUUCAGGACCUUCUGGCCACCUUUGGGGAGAGACGGGCUCCCACUGGCCUGGGGAGGAUGCUGGCGUCAGCUAACACCAUGCUUCGCAUCCAGAGAGGACCCCCGACUCCCAGCCUUGUUCAGCCUGAGAUGGGGGACCGGUAACAAACACCAGGCCCCAGCUCAGACACACUGCAGCAGGUGUCUGCCCUUUAAAGAACUGCCUGAUGACAGGUUAUACCCACCAAAGCGUAGCAACCACCACACAGUGCAUCUGGAUUUGAAAGAAGGGCUGGGAUUCCUGCACUGGCGUUUAGGGUCAGCAAUGCCUCCUUGAGGGCUAGGGGCUGUCCUGGCAUAGAGAAGCUUGCCUGGUUAUGACCUAGAACUCUGCCCAAGGGCCUCCCCAAGGAACCGGGUCUCUGCCAGGCCAGCCUGACCUCCACCCAACUCAGCCCCCAGGGAUCGGGCAAACCAAACGCAGUGUCUGGAUUCAGCUGGCACAGGGCACUUGGAGAGCACCAGCCACCUAUCUAUCCAUUUGCCGUGCUCCCGGCCUGCCCCCACUCGCCACCCCAUCAACACGGCCUUGGAUCAGGCCUCCUCAUCUCCUACCAGGCCCCUUCGCCUCCAGCCUCUGCCUCUCCUUCCAUACGCCAUGCUGCUGCCUGGGCAUUCAUCCAUAACACAGUGAUUUCAUUUCUCCGCCAUCUGAAUCCUCCGGUGACUCCCCAUUGUCCACAGGGAAAUGUCCAAACACAUCAGCCCAGCCCUGGAGAAUUUGCAGAAUCCUGAAAGCCCUUCCUUGUCUCUGAAUAACUCCGUUCAGGCACCCAUCCACUACCUACCAGCUCCUUCGAUGUGGCGGGAGCAGCGUCACCCACUUACUGUGAGUCGGUGGUCAGGAACUCAGCUCUGGAGCCGGACUGCUUGGGUCCAGAUCCUGGUACUGCCAGUUAUAAGCCUUUGAGCAUGUGACCGUGAACAAAUUGCUGAAAUUCCCUCUGCCUCAACUGCCACAUCUGUAAAAUGAGGCUGAUAAAGCUUUCUAUGUCGUGGGGCUGAGUGAGGGCUAAAAGAUUGAACAUAUAUAAAGCCCCUGGAAGCAUGCCUGGCACGAAGUAAACAUCUAGCAAAUAUUUGCGAUUGUGAUUGUGUCUUUGCUCACCCUGUCCCUUCCACCUGCAGGCCCUUCUACUCCUUUCACUUUGUGAACUCCUAUUCAUCCUUCAAAACAAAAUACAAAGUCCAGCUGUGGAGUCCUCUGCUCUGGGUUAUCUACUCCCUCUUCUGUGUCCCCUCCACCUCCGCGCAGCAUAAAUCACACUGAACCCAGAGUCCACUUAUUUACCUACCUCUUCAACUAGACUGAGUCCUAGGUACCCUUUUGCCAAUGCCCACAGGGCCGGUUUGUUGAGUAAAUAUAUAAAAUUUCAGAAAUGGUGACACUAGCUUUUUUUUUUUUUUCUUUUUUUUAACGCAGUCUCAUCUUUGAGAAUAAACACUCAAGACCACAUUAGAAAGGGGAAACUUGAUUUCUCUUUCUGCCAUCUCUCUUUAAAAGACUCCCUAAAGUUUCCAAAGAGAAGAAACAUGCGAAGAACUCAAUAAAAGCUUGGAGGGUUUUUUUUUAAUAUUAAAGAGAUAAUAAAAUAGAAAAGCUUUUUUGGUUUAAUUAGUCAUUAUGAUCAGGUAUCUAUGGAAACAGGUGGAUGUUCACGCUCAAAACAGACAAUCAUGUCCCUGGCGAACAAUGCAUUAAUCAACACGAAGUUGGAGCCUCGAGAAACAAGCUUUCAUCCUGUCGCCAAAUGCUUCUCGGUCGAGUACAGGAAGAUGAGAAACCAAAACUCAGUUGCUGCCUUCAGAGGCACCUCAGUGAAAACCAAUCUGGUCAUUGGCCUGUCAGAUUCACCAAGGGCUUUUCAAGGUCAGAUCUGAGUCCGGCUUAAUCGCAGAAGAGCAGGCCAAGGUUGGACUAAGCCUUAUUCCAGCGUCAGACGCGAAGAUGCUUCAGCUCAGAGAGUGCGGACACCAUCAGGAAGGCCCAGGUCCCAAUGCUGCAAAGAACCAGGCCUGCCAUACCUCGAUGACAAGCCAAUCCUCGGCCUUGGUGUGGCGUUUCCAGGUCAGAACGCCGAGGCCCAUACAGCCCUGAACAUCUGGAUGGCCAGUUUGUCCCUGAUCAUCUGUCCACACCAGCUUCUGCCUCAGCCUGGCAGCCAGGAGCACCACCAGGCUGGUAGAUGGAGCUCCGGCUGGAUUCCUCAGGUCAGCACGUGGGCGGUGACGGCGUGGCCAGGUGCUGGUCCCACUGAAUUUCUUGGGAAGAAGAAGCCAACCUUGUAAAUAGCUACUAGCCAGGGAAUGCUUGCCUGAUAAUUCUGUAUUUGUGAAGAACCUUCCGGCAGCCUUUGGAUGGGGAGGCCAAGUCCGCUAGCAGUGUUGUAAAUACCUGCACGAGGUGAAACUUGCCAGCAAGGGUUCCCUCUUGGUUGCCUCUAAACAGGGAUCCUGGCUGCUUCUGUCCCUCUUUGCUGUGGCCAUUGGGAACUCUUGGUGUUGGGCCGCUUUGGAAAGCUCAGCCCUCAAAGCCUUCCCUGGAGGCUAGAGCUGUAUGGUCAGUCCGUUUCAAAGCAACAAGUGCACACAGAGGAGGAGGAAGACCCCUAUGGAUGGGGAUAAUCCAGGAAGACUUCCUAGAGGAGGUGAGAUUUCAGGUGGGCCUUAAGGAUUAUAAAUAUCAUGGAAGUGGGUCGAAGGGAGAAUGGGGAGGGGGUGAAGCAUACACACCCCAGAAAGACCCACCACCACCACCACAGGAAAAGCCUAUUUGGAAACAGUCCACUGUUCUCCAAAGGUUAAACCUAGAGUGAACCUCUGACCCAGCAAUUCCACUCCUAGGUAUGUGCCCAGGAGAAAAGAAAGCACAUCGUCCCACCGAAACUUAUACACAAAAGUCCAUAGCAGCACAAUUCGCAAUAGC